GUUUAGUGGCAAAAUGAGUGUUUUCCAAACACUGGUCGCCGGUCCGAUUCCGGCAUCCCGCACCG
rnacentral:tRNA from 1 species